rnacentral:rRNA from 1 species
AUACGUAGGGGGCGAGCGUUGUCCGGAUUGAUUGGGCGUAAAGGGCGCGUAGGCGGCCCGGUAAGUCUGGAGUGAAAGUCCUGUUUUUAAGAUGGGAAUUGCUUUGGCUACUGUCGGGCUUGAGUGCAGGAGAGGGCAGUGGAAUUCCUAGUGUAGAGGUGAACUGCGUAGAGAUUGGGAGGAACACCAGUGGCGAAGGCGACUUACUGGACUGUAACUGACGCUGAGGCGCGAAAGUGUGGGGAGCAAACAGGAGUAGAUACCCUGGUAGUCCACACUGUAAACGAUGAAUGCUAGGUGUAGGGGGUAUCGACCCCUUCUGUGCCGCAGUCAACACAAUAAGCAUUCCGCCUGGGGAGUACGGCCGCAAGGUUGAAACUCAAAGGAAUUGACGGGG